GCCUUGAUGGUGAAAUGGUAGACAUGCGAGACUCAAAAUCUCAUUCUUAAGAGCGUGGAGGUUCGAGUCCUCUUCAAGGCA
rnacentral:tRNA from 1 species